CCAAUAGCGUAUAUUAAAGUUGUUGCAGUUAAAAAGCUCGUAGUUGAAUUUCGGGGUCAAUAAGUUGGUCAUGCCAAUGGUAUGCACUGGCUUUAUUGAUUCCUACCUCUUGACGAACUGUGAUGCCAUUAAUUUGGUGUUGCAAGGAAUCAGGACUGUUACCUUGAAAAAAUUAGAGUGUUUAAAGCAAGCUUACGCUUGAAUACAUUAGCAUGGAAUAAUGAAAUAGGACGUUUGAUCCUAUUUUGUUGGUUUCUAGGAUCGACGUAAUGAUUAAUAGGGAUAGUUGGGGGCAUUAGUAUUCAAUUGUCAGAGGUGAAAUUCUUGGAUUUAUUGAAGACUAACUACUGCGAAAGCAUUUGCCAAGGAUGUUUUCAUUAAUCAAGAACGAAAGUUAGGGGAUCGAAGACGAUCAGAUACCGUCGUAGUCUUAACCAUAAACUAUGCCGACUAGGGAUCGGAUGAUGUUAAUUUUUUAAUGACUCAUUCGGCGCCUUACG
rnacentral:rRNA from 1 species